GAUGAGCGCUGGCGGCGUGCCUAAUACAUGCAAGUCGAGCGAACGGACGAGAAGCUUGCUUCUCUGAUGUUAGCGGCGGACGGGUGAGUAACACGUGGAUAACCUACCUAUAAGACUGGGAUAACUUCGGGAAACCGGAGCUAAUACCGGAUAAUAUUUUGAACCGCAUGGUUCAAAAGUGAAAGACGGUCUUGCUGUCACUUAUAGAUGGAUCCGCGCUGCAUUAGCUAGUUGGUAAGGUAACGGCUUACCAAGGCAACGAUGCAUAGCCGACCUGAGAGGGUGAUCGGCCACACUGGAACUGAGACACGGUCCAGACUCCUACGGGAGGCAGCAGUAGGGAAUCUUCCGCAAUGGGCGAAAGCCUGACGGAGCAACGCCGCGUGGGUGAUGAAGGUCUUCGGAUCGUAAAACUCUGUUAUUAGGGAAGAACAUAUGUGUAAGUAACUGUGCACAUCUUGACGGUACCUAAUCAGAAAGCCACGGCUAACUACGUG
rnacentral:rRNA from 1 species